GAUGAACGCUGGCGGCGUGCCUAAUACAUGCAAGUCGAACGAGGUGCUUUUGUAGCAAUACGAGAGUAUCCUAGUGGCGAACGGGUGAGUAACGCGUUGGUGACCUACCCCAAAGUGUGGGAUAACAGUCCGAAAGGAUUGCUAAUACCGCAUGUGGUCUUCGGGUUUAGAAACUGAUGACUAAAGGAGCAAUUCGCUUUGGGAGGGACCUGCGUCCCAUCAGCUAGUUGGUGAGGUAAUGGCUCACCAAGGCUACGACGGGUAGGGGACCUGAGAGGGUGACCCCCCACAAUGGAACUGAAACACGGUCCAUACACCUACGGGUGGCAGCAGUAGGGAAUAUUGCACAAUGGGCGAAAGCCUGAUGCAGCAACGCCGCGUGUGCGAUGAAGGCCUUCGGGUCGUAAAGCACUUUUCUGGGAGAUGAGCAAGGACAGUAUCUCAGGAAUAAGUCUCGGCUAACUACGUGCCAGCAGCCGCGGUAAU
rnacentral:rRNA from 1 species